GUGUGGGGAGCCCUAGGCUCUGCCAGAGCCUUAGGGUGUGUGGUGUUCCCUCAGCACACACGCACAUGCGCGCACACACACACCUUCUUUUUCCUAAGAUGCUCAUAGUCCCCAGGGAAAUCCAGUGCUGAUCACCCCAGCCAUUACUCCACCCAUCCUUCCCUCCUCAGAAUCCAAGUGGUGAAAUGAUAGGGACUGUGUAGGAUCUGACCCUUGCUAGAAAUCAAGGUCCAGGGUCAAAUGAAUGGUUUCAUCCUUCCUGAGUGUUCAGUGUUGAGUGCUGUGCAUGUGUCCGGACACCAGAGUUGGGAGUGGUGGCCAGGAGCAUCUCCUCCCCAUUUUGAUGGCUAUGUUGUGGAACAGUUUCCCAGGGUAGUCUAAGUAUAUUUAAAAAUGAAUUCACUCCAACUUCCUCUUCCAAUUCUUCACUUCGUGUGUAUCUUCUUUCUCAUUCAUGCUUUCAUGUAAAUUCUUGCUGGAAAUCUAAAGCGAACUAUUUUCCUAAAAUUUUGCCCUAAAAAUUAUAUCCUUGUGUACAGCACUGAAGUCUGUUACACGGAAUCAGAAAAUGACUAAAAAUGAAUUUCUAAAUGUUAGCUCAAUACUGCAUCCAAGUCGGAAUUAAAACAUUGUUUGGUUGUGACAAAAAUAAGCAUCAUGUUAGAGCUCAAGUGUUUAGAGUCAUUAGCCUGAGUAACACGCUGUGCGGUUCGGGUGGAGACUUUUUAAACACUUGGCGUGUGAACUGUAGUUACGUGCUACUGCUCUGUAGCCCCCUCCAGGCCCCUUCGUGACUGCUGAGUCAGAACGGGAGCGGUAUAACGAGGAUGGUUUCCAUCUGCCUGUUUUCCUUACCUAUUUGUCUACUUUUGAUUGCCUAACUUGUCCCUGCUUUCCCAGAACUGAAAAAAUAAAUAAAUAAAUAUUCCAGCAGUCUGUCCUCAGAGUCAGUUUGCCAGAGCACAAGUGAUUCUUGCUGUUGUUCGGAGUUUCUGUCUUAUACAAGAAUCCAGGGCUAAUUCUGCUGAAAUUAAUGCACCUCCCACUUCCAUCUCCCUUCUAUCCUUACCUGGUAUAAUUGUCUGAGACUAAUUUUCAUUUCUUUGUUUUUACUUGAAAGUUUUUCAAAAGUGUUGAGCAGAUUUACUUAUGCAUUCAUUUAUUCAUUCAUUCAUUUGCCUAACAGAGACAGUUAUAUUAUUACAGUGAAACAAAAGUAAUUAAGUUGACCUACUGUGGUAUGUGGUUAAGAUACUACACAUUAUAUUAGUUUUUCAUUACCUGCUGAUCUGAACUGUGCACUCGCCCUUACCUUACAAUUUAAGAUUGUUCAUAAGUUUUGCCUGCAUUUAGAGAUUUUUCUGUUCACACAUGUAUAAAUAUGAAAAUACAUAAACAUGAUGGGGAACAGAACUAGUUGGCUGUCAAGCUUGAUAGGUGUGUUUGUGUGUGUAGGAGUGGGUGUGUACACUCACAUUUCCAACAUGUUCCCAAAUCAGAACGAUUUUAUCCUCAAAACUCCAUAUUCUUACUAAAACAACCAAAACUUCAUGGUAACAAACAAAUUUGAGUUGGAAUUUGUCAUUAGACUUGAACUCAACAGGAUGUGAAAUGCAGGAGAACCAUACUGAACCAAUUGGAAAAUGUGUUGACUUUUAAAAUUUGUUUUCCUAAACGAGUUUAAAAUCCAGAAAAUUCAUCUUCUCAGGGUUUUUCUCAGGGAUACCAUAUGGCUUAAAGAUGACUUAAAAUUGCACAUGCUGUAUGAGGUUUUUGUUUUUGCUUUUUUGGGUUCUGUGGGUUGAACACAGGGCCGUCACUCUCAGCUUCUUCCCCAGCCCCUUUUUUAUUUUAAUUUUUUAUUUUGAGACAGGGUCUCACUAAGUUGUCCAUGCUGAGUUCAUCUGUGGUGUUCCUCCCUUAGCUUCCCAGAGUGCUGAAAUUAGAAGCAUACGCAACAUCACACCUAGCUUGUGUGAGAUUUUCAUGCUCUUGGGCAGGUGGCUAUCUGGGAGUCAGAUUUUUAAAGGCUUAACAAAACCUCCUGGUUAAAGAACCAGAGGUCUUGCACUUGAGUAUUUGUCUUGAUGUGCCUUGCGAGAGAGACAGCAAAUUAGGUACCUCUCCAGGAUGAAGGGGGUUAAAGAUUAUAGCUCAGUGGCUGUGCUACUGUUUAAUGUGCAGGAGGCUCUAGACUUGUUCCCCAGCAGAAAGUGGGGUAGGGUGAAAGCAGAGGGGAAGGAAGGCAAAGAAGGGAAGGGAGAGGAGGCAAGAGGGAAAAGGAAGGAAGGAGCUGAACUCAAAAAUCCUUUGCAACAUUAUAUAAUUUUUAAAACCAGUACUUUCAAAAAGAGAACGAAGCAGUAGCUCUAUUUUACCGCAUUUAAGAUUACUGAAUUAAAGCUCUGAAUCUCUCAAAAUAACAUUCUGAGACUCCUUGGCCAAGUCUAGAGAUUGGAUUCCUCAGUUUUGGGGGGUGCACAUAAUAACAUGUAAAUCUGCCAUACUGUGAGUCCAUCCCGCUCCGCUGCCUGAAUUGCAUGUCCUUCACAUAUUUGACAUUGCCACAUUUUAGUAGUAGAAACAGAGAUGGUGGAGGAAGAAGAUGGUGUCUCUAAGCUUUGAGUCUCUAAGUGGUGGCUCUAAAAUGCUACUCCCCCCUCACACAGAGUGUUUUUCUAAGUGCAGAGCAUUGAAAUCGGAAUGUUUGAGAUUCUUGGUGAAGAAGAGAUUUAGAUGGAAAAUGGCAUUUAUAACAAGUUCUCCAAGUCAGUCUUUGCCGCAGUACGUUUGAACCCGCUGCAGCACCCAGACGUGAGCUGUGGUGGGAGCCAGGCACCUACCACACGACAGGGACAGACAGGAAGAUGCGUUCUUAGAAAAGAUCCAACAUAAAGUUGAAAGUUAAGAUAGUUUACUACUCCUGGGUGGAAUUUCAAAUCCUAUUUAUUUUAAUUUAAUGGAAUACAUUUAACUGAGUAAGUUUAAUGAGGAACAUAAUAUGUUUCACGAAGGGUCAUUAGUUUUAUAUUUCCCGUUUGGACCAUUACCUCUCUCCCUUAACCUCCUAAAAACAGUUUACUCACAACUAGAAAAGGUUGGGAAGAGAGAAAAAUAAUAUAAUUUCCAGCAUUUAGACUGAAGUACAAAUUUCUGGGCAACACCAGCGUAGUGUUAUAGGGUCAAAGGAAAUUGUGCAGUGUGUGGGUGUUGAAAAAGAUUCCUCCUUUUAGCAAAAAAGCUCUGCGUAAUUAUCAUGUCUUUGCUUGAUAAUUAGCACUACAGUUACAAUGGCUCAAAGACUCACAGAGCCUUAAAGGACUGACUGAGAUAGGUUUUUGUUUUUAUUAUUAUUAUUAUUAUUAUUAUAAUGCAGCUUGAGUAUCUGUUUAGGUACAAUAUAUAAAUAUGCCAGAUGUAGUAAAUGUGUUAAAAUUUUAAUCCACUGGUUAAAAAAUAAGAAGUUAUUGCAUUAAAAGUACUUCCUUUGGAGAAAGUCUACUUCACUUAGCUCUGUGACAUAUACACUCAAUAUUAACCCAAAAUGCUAGCUGGUGAGGUUGCUGAAAGCCAGUGGGGAUUCUGAAUUUCAGAUGGUGUGAUUGAUAUGAAAGGGCUGCCUUGUUACAGCUUCCAACUCUCUAGCUCCACUCUUCCUUCUUCGAUGACCUAAGAGAAGAAACUGUAGUGAUUUCUGCUGGGCUGAGUUCCUGGAAGAGGGUGGAGUCCUGGAGCACCCUGGGAGGAAGCAAAGACUGCAGCUCCUACAGGACGUGGUGGCAGCCCAGGGCUGCGCACAGCAGUGAUUUGACAAGCAGCAGCUCACCCUCAGCACGGUGCGGGGGACUCUGCAUUGCUUGUAAGCAUGUAGGACAUAUAUCCGGAAGUCAGCUUGGAACACUUGGAGGGCAGAGGAGUGGGAGCCUCAUUAGUGCAGUGAAUGCCACUGGCAUGAAGGUGGAGGUUAAACAAUUCAGCAGAACUUUCAGGCAGGUCAUGUGUUCUGCCAGAGCACUCCAGGGGAUCCCUUGAAGGACAGAAGUCCUAGACAGGUUGUCUCCCUACCCACCCCAUAAUUUCUAAGCAGGUCACCCUCAUGGGAAUAUCACUUAGUUCCUGGACAUCACGGCACCUUUCACCAUCCUUGUACUCAGCUACUACUGAAUGCCCAUGCAGUCUAGGCCAGGAGUCCAGUGACUCUGUGGAAGGGGAGAAGAACACAAUGUGAGGAUGGAUUUUACUCUGCAAAAGAACCUUUGAGUCCCAUCUGUCUCAACAGAGGAUUGUUGGCUUUUAUUUUUAGAUGCAAGAAUAGGUGUGUGUGUGUGUGUGCCUGUGUGUGUUUAUGUUCAUCCGAGAGAGAGGAUAUUCACAAUAUUUGAAUGAUAUUUAAAAUAUCAUAUUUAUAUAUCAUAUUUACAAUGUCUGUGCUUUGAUUUUCUGUCUUCUGACUCUUGCUUGGAUUGAAAGACAUCUAAGACAAAACAUUCCCUUGCACAUCAAUAGUUAAAAGCUAAAGUGGGACCUGAAAGGUCUUAAAAUAGCUUUUAACCUUCGUUGCUUCACAGUGCCACUGGAGGUGAGCAGCACACUAACUGCCCUUGCACACGGGUUAGUGAAAAUUGGUGAGCACACUCUUUGUUGAAAAGCGAAGACAGCACAUCGAGGAACUGAACUACCGUACAAAUUCAGGAUUACAGAAUUUGGAAAUGCAUGGGAAAUAAUGAAAGUAGACGUUUUACUUGAAUUUUCAUUAUAGCAAUUAAAUAGGUUCCAGUUUUAUAGUUAUAAAAAUGGAGAUAUAUGAAAUUAUUCCCGUGUGUGCUAUGCAAAUGCACAUUACACUCAGAUGCUUUCUUAAGAGAAAAAAAAAAA